AAGAGAGAAAAACAAAUCCUGCAUGUAUAACAUGACAGCACGAGAUAGAAAGCCAAAAGAAGGAUCACUUAUACAUGUCUGCAUUCAAAGUAUGAAGCACAUAAAAUCUGAAAUUCUCUGGACCGAGCAGGAAAAGAACUGUGUGCUCAGGGAAAGUCACAAAGCAAUAUGGAGUCAAGCCUAUGAUUUAAAUGGACAGCCAGAAAUUUGGAAGGAACAAGACUUAACAUUUGAUGGGGAAGACUUGUAGAGACGAGGUAGACAAAGAUGAACAAAAUAGAAAUUUGCCAUCUCCAAUGCAAGGCACCAUCACUAAUAAAUAUCUUUGCUGAAAAAUAAAUGCAGAAUGGAAGACAGGAAAAGAAAAUGUGCAGAGUCCCCAAUGGAGGAGUUAGAAAGAGGACUGAAGAAGCUGAAGGGGUUUGCAACCCUAUAGGAAGAACAACAAUAUGAACCAACCAGAUCCCCCAGAACACCCAGGGACUAAGCCAUCAACAAAGAAAUUUCUAUCCUACUGGAUAAUGUAUGUAGGACACACAUGCCGUGUAAGG
rnacentral:lncRNA from 1 species